rnacentral:rRNA from 1 species
ACGUAGGGGGCGAGCGUUGUCCGGAGUUACUGGGCGUAAAGGGCACGCAGGCGGUCGGACGCGUUUCGGGUGACAGCGGGUGGCUAAACUGCCCGAGUGGUCGAAAGACGGUCUGACUUGAGGGCCAGAGAGGGACACGGAAUUCCGGGUGGAGUGGUGAAAUGCGUAGAGAUCCGGAGGAACACCGAAGGCGUAGGCAGUGUCCUGGCUG